CAAAGGAGAGCACUGCCACCACCACCCACCUCCCACCCCACCACCCACCCCACCCCCGUUCACUGCACACACCAUUCCCAAAGGCAUUUAGUGGACAGCAAGGGUCUUUUUCCUUGCAGUGACUUCUAAGAGACCUCCCUUGUCUGCUGUCUUUGAAGUUAAUGUGUGAAAUAGUCCUCUACGCGGUAGUGGAGACCCGUGGGCCACUGUGAGCCUUAUGAGAUGAGUGUCUGGGGUCAAGGAAUAUCUGUAUAGCGCUAUGGAGAUGCGGUGCUCUCAUUGGCCAGGCCUGAUCACGUGUCCAUCUGGAGGCGGAGUCCACACUAAAAGUAACCAAGUAAAGAAAGGAGCUUUUUUUCAGAGAGAAACUGGGCGCUGGCUGCGUUAUGCAGAGAAGAAGUUAUCAAAUCCACUCUGUGUUGUCAAAGAGACAGAAAACCAUCUGACUUCAACAGCCUACAGCUGAAAAUGGUGACAUGAG